CUGAGCUGAACUCCUGGAAUCCAGCUGUUGAGAGGGAGGAGUCAUCUGGGUAUUUGUAUUGGCUUCUUGAGAAUGCCAUUCCAGGAAUGGAGUUAAAACCCUGCUUGCUGUACCUCCAGGAGGAACUGACAGGGGUAUGGAAAGAAGAAAAUAGACAAGAACCAUGGAUGAGAGAUUGCAUACAGAUGCAGAAGUGGUCACAUGCAAUCAUGCCAUAGCAAAGCCCACUUGAUCAUGGAUGGUGACAUAUGAAAGCCACAUCUAAGAGCUUACUUUCCAUCUCAUAAGCAGCUCCACCAAAAAGAGUUCUCCUCCCCACCCCAACACUUGCUCAUGACUUCCACAAUCUUGAGAAGAAGUCCGGAGGGUCAUAACUUUCUAAUCUUCUGCUACUGUAAAGGUCACACUUGCUUCUUGAAUUUUAUAAGCCUCCCUCGUCCUUCUGGAAUGGAAUGCUUCAAACUGGAAGAAACAGCUACACAACACUUGUAACCAAGAAGAUGGAAGCUUAUUCAGGCUUCAUCUGUGUAGGGUGCUUUACGUAGGUUCUCUCACUUAGCUCUCAUGAAAACAAGUAAGAAAACCUGAUUAUCUCUGUUUUGCAAACAGAUGAGUCGAUCAUAAUGGGGUCAACUGCAUUAUAUUAGUAAAUGGAGCUUGGAGGAUUAACGCCAGGAUUUCCAGAAUCACGAAAUAAAAUUGCUUUUGUUUGAGGUCACUCAAUGAUUUUUAAGUGGUACAACACUUGGAUACAGGAUAAAUAUGUUUUGUAUUUUAUUGUCCAAUAAUAUGGUGGCUGUAUUAAUGAAACUAUGUUAAAUAUACUAUUUCAAACAUAGAAAUUUUUAAAUAUUAUUAUCCUAUCCCUUUCCCAAAACAUACAAAC